UACGUAGGUGGCAAGCGUUGUCCGGAAUUAUUGGGCGUAAAGCGCGCGCAGGCGGUCCUUUAAGUCUGAUGUGAAAGCCCACGGCUCAACCGUGGAGGGUCAUUGGAAACUGGGGGACUUGAGUGCAGAAGAGGAAAGCGGAAUUCCACGUGUAGCGGUGAAAUGCGUAGAGAUGUGGGGGAACACCAGUGGCGAAGGCGGCUUUCUGGUCUGUAACUGACGCUGAGGCGCGAAAGCGUGGGGAGCAAACAGG
rnacentral:rRNA from 1 species